rnacentral:rRNA from 1 species
AGUGAACGCUGGCGGUAUGCCUAACACAUGCAAGUCGAACGGCAACACAGUAAGAGCUUGCUCUUACGGGUGGCGAGUGGCGGACGGGUGAGGAAUACAUCGGAAUCUACUUUUUCGUGGGUGAUAACGUAGGGAAACUUACGCUAAUACCGCAUACGACCUACGGGCGAAAGCAGGCGUUCUUCGAACCUUUCGCGAUUGAAUGAGCCGAUGUCGGAUUAGCUAGUUGGCUGGGUAAAGGCCCACCAAGGCGACGAUCCGUAGCUGGUCUGAGAGGAUGAUCGGCCACACUGGAACUGAGACACGGUCCAGACUCCUACGGGAGGCAGCAGUGGGGAAUAUUGGGCAAUGGGCGAAAGCCUGAUCCAGCAAUACCGCGUGAGUGAAGAAGGCCUUCGGGUUGUAAAGCCCUUUUGUUGGGAAAGAAAAGCAGCAGGUUAAUACGCCGCUGUUCUGACGGUACCCAAAGAAUAAGCACCGGCUAACUUCGUG